ACGAACGCUGGCGGCGUGCUUAACACAUGCACGUCGCACGGAAAGGCCCUGCUUGCAGGGUGCUCGAGUGGCGAACGGGUGAGUAACACGUGGGUGAUCUGCCCCUUAUUUUGGGAUAAGCCUGGGAAACUGGGUCUAAUACUGGAUAGGACCAUGCUGUAGGUGGUGUGGUGGAAAGAUUAGUUUCGGUAAGGGAUGAGCUCGCGGCCUAUCAGCUUGUUGGUGGGGUAAUGGCCUACCAAGGCGUCGACGGGUGGCCGGCCUGAGAGGGUGGACGGCCACAUUGGGACUGAGAUACGGCCCAGACUCCUACGGGAGGCAGCAGUGGGGAAUAGUGCACAAUGGGCGCAAGCCGGAUGCAGCGACGCCGCGUGGGGGAUGACGGCCUUCGGGUUGUAAACUCCUUUCAGCCAUGACGAAGCCCUUGUGGUGACGGUAGUGGUAGAAGAAGCACCGGCUAACUACGUG
rnacentral:rRNA from 1 species